UACGUAGGUGGCGAGCGUUCUCCGGAUUUACUGGGUGUAAAGGGUGAGUAGGCGGGAAGUCAAGUCAGAUGUGAAAUGCCGCGGCUUAACUGCGGAACUGCAUUUGAAACUGAUUUUCUUGAGAGUCGGAGAGGCAAUCGGAAUUCCUAGUGUAGCGGUGAAAUGCGUAGAUAUUAGGAGGAACACCAGUGGCGAAGGCGGAUUGCUGGACGACAACUGACGCUGAGACACGAAAGCGUGGGGAGCAAACAGG
rnacentral:rRNA from 1 species